AAAAAAAAACAUUUAAAAAGAGAUAGAUUUGGGGAAUAUCAGAUGAAGUAGCUGGAAAUCUCAAACAAUGAACUUCUGGCUCCUAUGUAAAAGACCACAUGUGCCCUUUUAGGAGGCAGAGUUAGCAGGACCAGAGCAAACCUGGCACAUACAGGUCUGGGAAUUGCAGUCUGAGAAGUCAG